rnacentral:rRNA from 1 species
CACAUGCAAGUCGAACGGUAACAGGUUUCGGACGCUGACGAGUGGCGAACGGGUGAGUAAUACAUCGGAACGUGCCCAGUCGUGGGGGAUAACUACUCGAAAGAGUAGCUAAUACCGCAUACGAUCUGAGGAUGAAAGCGGGGGACCUUCGGGCCUCGCGCGAUUGGAGCGGCCGAUGGCAGAUUAGGUAGUUGGUGGGAUAAAAGCUUACCAAGCCGACGAUCUGUAGCUGGUCUGAGAGGACGACCAGCCACACUGGGACUGAGACACGGCCCAGACUCCUACGGGAGGCAGCAGUGGGGAAUUUUGGACAAUGGGCGAAAGCCUGAUCCAGCAAUGCCGCGUGCAGGAUGAAGGCCUUCGGGUUGUAAACUGCUUUUGUACGGAACGAAAAAGCUUCUCCUAAUACGAGAGGCCCAGACGGUACCGUAAGAAUAAGCU